AGGUAAUAAUCCUGUAGUCGAAAAUGUUGUCUCUCUUGAGUGGAUCCUGAGUACGACGGAGCACGUGAAAUUCCGUCGGAAUCUGGGAGGACCAUCUCCUAAGGCUAAAUACUCUCUAGUGACCGAUAGUGAACCAGUACCGUGAGGGAAAGGUGAAAAGCACCCCGGAAGGGGAGUGAAAUAGAACCUGAAACCGUGUGCUUACAAGUAGUCAGAGCCCGUUAAUGGGUGAUGGCGUGCCUUUUGUAGAAUGAACCGGCGAGUUACGAUUUGAUGCAAGGUUAAGCAGUAAAUGUGGAGCCGUAGCGAAAGCGAGUCUGAAUAGGGCGUUUAGUAUUUGGUCGUAGACCCGAAACCAGGUGAUCUACCCUUGGUCAGGUUGAAGUUCAGGUAACACUGAAUGGAGGACCGAACCGACUUACGUUGAAAAGUGAGCGGAUGAACUGAGGGUAGCGGAGAAAUUCCAAUCGAACCUGGAGAUAGCUGGUUCUCUCCGAAAUAGCUUUAGGGCUAGCCUCAAGUGAUGAUUAUUGGAGGUAGAGCACUGUUUGGACGAGGGGCCCCUCUCGGGUUACCGAAUUCAGACAAACUCCGAAUGCCAAUUAAUUUAACUUGGGAGUCAGAACAUGGGUGAUAAGGUCCGUGUUCGAAAGGGAAACAGCCCAGACCACCAGCUAAGGUCCCAAAAUAUAUGUUAAGUGGAAAAGGAUGUGGCGUUGCCCAGACAACUAGGAUGUUGGCUUAGAAGCAGCCAUCAUUUAAAG
rnacentral:rRNA from 1 species